UACAGAGGGUGCGAGCGUUAAUCGGAAUUACUGGGCGUAAAGCGCACGUAGGUGGCGACGUAAGUCGGGUGUGAAAGCCCCGGGCUCAACCUGGGAAUUGCAUUCGAGACUGCAUUGCUGGAGUACGGAAGAGGAAGGCGGAAUUCCCGGUGUAGCGGUGAAAAUGCGUAGAUAUCAGGAGGAACACCGGUGGCGAAGGCGGCUUUCUGGACAGAUACCGACGCUGAGGCACGAAAGCUAGGGGAGCAAACAGG
rnacentral:rRNA from 1 species